UACAGAGGCCCCAAGCGUUAGGCGGAAUCACUGGGUUUAAAGGGUGCGUAGGUGGAUUGGUAAGUCCGUGGUGAAAUCCCUGAGCUUAACUCAGGAACUGCCGUGGAUACUAUCAAUCUUGAAUACUGUGGAGGUAAGCGGAAUAUGUCAUGUAGCGGUGAAAUGCUUAGAUAUGACAUAGAACACCAAUUGCGAAGGCAGCUUGCUACACGGUUAUUGACACUGAGGCACGAAAGCGUGGGGAUCAAACAGG
rnacentral:rRNA from 1 species